AGUGAACGCUGGCGGCAGGCCUAACACAUGCAAGUCGAACGGCAGCAGGGUGCGAGCUGCUUAUUACGGGUGGCGAGGGGCGGACGGGUGCGGAAUAUAUCCGAAUCUACGGUUUAGUUGGUCAUAACGGAGGGAAACAUACGCUAAGACCGCAGACGGACAACGGGGGAAAGCAAGGGAUCUCCGGACCUUGCGCGAUUGAAUGAGCCGAUGUCGGAUUAGCUAGUUGGCGGGGUAAAGGCACACCAAGGCAACGAUCCGUAGCUGGUCUGAGAGGAUGAUCAGCCACACUGGAACUGAGACACGGUCCAGACUCCUACGGGAGGCAGCAGUGGGGAAUAUUGGACAAUGGGCGCAAGCCUGAUCCAGCCAUGCCGCGUGGGGGAAGAAGGCCUUCGGGUUGUAAAGUCCUUUUGUUGGGAACGAAACGCAGCAGGUUAAUACCCGGCUGUUCUGACGGUACCGAAAGAAUAAGCACCGGCUAACUUCGUG
rnacentral:rRNA from 1 species